AUUAAAAAAGUCCUGUCACUUUCCGAAGGAAAAAAUAAAAAAGAAUCAGGAAAGGGAAAAAAUGGAAAGCCCAAAUAAAGGAAAGAAAAUGAGUUCUUCUGAUAACAACAGUGACCCGAAGUUGCCAUCUAUCAAGAUCCACCUCCCCUCCUCCCCGCACUACUCAUCAUCCGCCGCCUCCUCUCCCACCCCCGUCGCCGGCGCACGUCGUAAGAUCGGGGUUGCCGUUGAUCUCUCCGAGGAAUCGGCUUUCGCUGUUCGUUGGACCGUCCAAAACUACCUCCGACCAGGCGAUGCUGUCAUCCUCCUCCACGUGUCACCAACGUCUGUGCUCUACGGAGCUGAUUGGGGACCAGUUCCCCAAACCCAACAAAGCCCGCAAACGCCGGAGACCCAGAAGCAACUGGAGGACGAUUUCGAUGCCUUCACGGCUUCGAAGGCAGCGGAUUUGGCCAAACCAUUGAAGGAAGCUGGGAUUCUCUUUAAGAUUCAUAUAGUGAAAGAUCAUGAUAUGAGGGAAAGAUUGUGUCUUGAGGUGGAGAGGUUGGGUUUGAGUGCUGUUAUAAUGGGGAGCAGAGGGUAUGGAGCUGAGAUAAGAGGGAAUGAUGGUAGAUUGGGAAGUGUUACUGAUUAUUGUGUGCAUCAUUGUGUUUGUCCUGUUGUUGUUGUUAGGUAUCCUGACGAGAAAGAUGGCGGGAAUGGUCAGCCCGCUGCAACAACCAAGGAGGUCAAGAUGGAGGGAAAAGGUGGCAAAAGUUAAUCCUUUCAGGGUUCAUUUUCGGCUGUUUGAGAUGCUUAGCAAGUCUAGUAAUUGCAGCAUUAUCCUAUCGGUAGCAGAUAGCAGAGAAGGCUAUAAGUAGCUCACGAUUAGCCCGUACGAAGGAUUAUGUUAAAAUGGAUCCUAGGAUUCACUCUUUCUACUUUCGUCUCUGUUUUGUUGAACUUUUUUUAUUGGUGAUGUUAUCAUAUGACCGUUGAGGUUCUAGAUUUCCUUUUAUGGCACUCGAGAUCAAGAUUUACUGCACCGUGAUGAUAUUCUAUAGGAUAAACCCAGUCUCAACAUUUGCUUUCAGUUUUAUGAGCUGUUAUGUUUUGCGUUGAUGUCGUUGUGCAGGAACAAAAAAACAUGAAAAAAAUUCACGAGCUUCACCUUGAAUUCAAGGGCAUUUUUUUAUGUAUAAAUCCGGAAUAGUUUUAUUUAUUUACUUAUUUU